rnacentral:rRNA from 1 species
AGGUAGCGCUGAUUCCAGUUUACGUAUUGCUAACAGAGGGUUUGAUUAUGGCUCAGAUUGAACGCUGGCGGGAUGUACUUUACACAUGCAAGUCGAACGGCAGCACGGACUUCGGUCUGGUGGCGAGUGGCGAACAGGUGAGUAAUGCUCGGAACGUGCCUAGUAGCGGGGGAUAACUACGCGAAAGCGUAGCUAAUGCCGCAUACGCCCUUCGGGGGAAGCGGGGGGACCUUCGGGCCUCGCACUAUUAGAGCUGGCCGAUAUCGGAUUAGCUAGUUGGUGGGGUAACGGCUCGCAAGGCGACUAGUCGUAGCUGGUUUGAAGGACGACCAGCCACACUGGGACUGAGACACGGCCCAGACUCCUACGGGAGCAGCAGUGGGGGGAAUUUUGGACAAUGGGGAAACCCUGAUCCAGCCAUCCCGCAUGUGCGAUGAAGGCCUUCAGUUUGCAAGCACUUUUGGCAGGAAAGAAACGGCGGGAUAAUACCCCGUGCAGCUGACGGUACUAUAGAAUAGCACAAAGCUAACUACGUGCCAGCAGCAUGAUGACGUAGAGGUGCAAGCGUUAAUCAGAAUUACUGAAUUUGUUAAAAGCGUGCAUGACAGUUGGAAAAGAAAGAUGUGAAAUCCAGAGCUUAACUUUGGAACUGCAUUUUUAACUACCGAGCUAGAGUGUGUCAGAGGGAGGUGGAAUUCCGUAAUGUAACAGUGAAAUGCAUCAGAUAUGCGGAGGAACACCAAUCAAUGAAGAACUAGCCUCUGGGAUAACUUACUGACGCUCAUGCAAAGCGUAGAACAUUGAUUGAAUACAAGUAGUCCGCCCUAAACGAUGUCAACUAGCUGUUGGGGCCUUCGGGCCUUGAAGCGUACCUUCGCCGCGUGGAAGUUGACCCGCCUCAGGGGAGUACGGUCGCAAGAUUAAAAACUCGAAAAUUGACAGGGACUACACAGCGGUGGAUGAUGUGGAUUAAUUCGAUGCAACGCGAAAAGUACCCUACCACUCGACAUGUCUGGAAUCCCGAAAGAGAUUUGGGAGUGCUCGCAAGAGAACCGGAACUUACAGGUGCUGCAUGGCUGUCGUCAGAAAGCAUAAUAUAGUGAGAUGUUGGGUUAAGUCCCGCAACGAGCACAGCCCGCCAAUAUUAGUUGCUACGAAAGGGCACUCUAAUGGGACUGCCGGUGACAGGAGGGAAGGUGGGGAUGACGUCAGUCCUCAUGGCUUAUAUAGGUGGGGCUUCCCGUCAUACAAUGGUCGGGACAGAGGGGUCGCCCAACCCGCGAGGAAUAAUCCAGAAACCCGAUCGUAGUCCGGAUCGCAGUCUGCAACUCGACUGCUGAAGUCCAGGAAUCGCUAGUAAUCGCGGAUCAACGCAUCGCAGGUAGGAAUACGUUCCACGGGUCUUGUACACACCGCCGUCACACCAUGGGAGUGGGUUUUACCAAGUAGUUAGCCUAACCAUCAGGAGGGCGAUUACCACGGUAGGAUUCAUGACUGGAAUUGAGUCAUUAACAAGGUAA